CCUACAGAAAAUAACCCAUCUACCCGCACGACCCACGACCCCCAAUCCCAUCGGCACCUCCAGCGCACCGCCGCCCCCUACCACGCUGUCGCACGCCGCCUCGCCGUCACGCCGCCGGACUCCUCCUCGCUGUCGCGCCGCCGGAACCCACCCCAUCGUCGCAAAAGGGUGGCUCUGGAGCACGAGCCAGCACAGACGAGGCCGGGACCAGAAGCAGAAUGCGAAAGCUGGGGCGUCGCACGACACCAUGCGGCGUUCGUGUCCCUCACAGUCGCCUCGCUCCUCCAUGGCCUGCCUGCGAGAGCCCAUGCUGGAGGAUGACCCUUACCAUGACGCAGAGUCUAGCCGACGGGAUCCGACAUGGUAGUCUUCUCCAAGGAGCGGUGGUCGAUGCCGACGAGCAGAGGCCCAUGGUCACGAGUCCUCCUCCGAUUGCUAUCCUCCACAUCCCUGAGGCCUUGUUCGGUUGAGGUGGUUUGUGAGGGGGAUUGGCAGGGAUUGAGGGGGAUUAGAUCCCCUACAAGCCAAAUUCCUCUCCAAUCCACUCCAAUCCCCUUGGGAGGAGGAUUAAACGAACAAGGCCUGAUGAAUAGGAUACAGAGAAGCACAGUGCAUUCUUCCUCCCUUAUGCCUAUGCGUAUUAUGAAUAGAUGAUGUGAUUGCUUUGUUAUUUCAUUCAAUUAAUGGCAAAAUUGAUGAGGUAAUUGGAAGAAUCGAGCAGCAAUUUUAUUACAGAACUCGCCAUUGAUUUGGUCAUCUCUGUCACUAGCAAGUUGCAUAAGAAAGAUUGUGGCGUUGCAGAGGCGUGAAUGAAAAAGUUAGUCUGGGGGACAGUUAUAGUGAUCCCUCAAUUAUAGAGCGGAUCCAGAUGAAAUUUCCUGUGCAUAGAAAGUCAUAUUGCUCUAAUUUGGAGCAUCAACUACUCAGUCCUUGAAACAAAGAAAUGGUGUGAUGACAAGGGCUGAUUGUUGUUUAAUCUCAGUUGAAUCAUCUUUCUUGAUAGGUAGUCUAAGACAAAUUACCCUAUUGCCUGGAGGUAAAGCAGUCUACUAUGGCUUGACCAAAGCAGAGUGGCCUUACAGUUUCAGCUCGCACCAUGGUUCUUGGGAAGCACUGGGGAGACAGCAAGCUGACAUAGUGCCAUUAAGAUUUCUUUUUAUCAGUUUGUAAUCUAUGUCUUCGGAUCAUUUUGUUUUUACAUGAAAAUCAUAUACAUAGCAGUAAAGUUUAUAGUUAAAGCAUAAUUUUGAUGCAAAUCUAUGGUAGCCAUCGUCAUUCAGCCAACGAAGAGCUACACUACCUGAAGCCGCUCGAUUGAUAACAUAUAUGUGAGUACUCUAAACCUCGGAAAUUGCCUGGUCUAUUCUUCAGCAAUUAAUACAAGAUACAUUAAUGUUUUCUUCGUUUCUAGAGAUGAGCCUACAUUUUUAUAUUCUAACGUAGAUGUUCAUGAGAACAUAAAAAGCACCAUCAAUUGUAACACAUAUUUUUAGUUUUACUGAUUUGUCUGCAAGAUGAAUUUGUGCAUUAACAAUACAAGAAAUUGAGGUACUAUUUGGGAAAGCCACUAUUGAGAUGUUUCCCGAAAUGACAGGAUACAACCACCAUAAUUUUUAUCCUCUGCAUUAGUUUCAGUUUCUUGCAAUAUUGUUAGACAUUUUCCUGUAGUAAAGGUAAGUACAGGUGAUCCCUUUUAAUUAGUGCCCGUUUUUUCUGUAAAUGGUAGAAAUGCAUUUCUUCUGAUAUUACGUAUUAGAGCAAUCCAUGUUUUGUCUUGGCACUAUACAAGUGCAUCUCCUCUUUUACUGUAAUAGCUAGAUGCUCUUAAUUUUCUUAUGAGUCUGAUGAAUCGGUGUAAUUAUAUGAUUAUUGGAGCCCCCAUAUAAUUCUAAACAAUGCAGUAUGUGCUACUCUUUUCCAUUUGUGAUAGACAAUAGUAGAAAGAAAUCUGGUCCGAAAGUAUGUGGUGUACAUUUCAUAAAAAACUAAUUACCCUAUCACCAUUAUGGUAGGAUCAAAUUCAUUGCCUAGCUGCACUAGCAUGGCCUUAGCGACGGCGCUGGAGCUACCACUGCUUGCGCCUCUCGCCAUGCCAGCCGUGAUGUUCUACAUGCUGAUCAACGUGAUGUUGUCAACCAUCCAGAUUUUCUACAGUUAGCUCAGCAACUUCCACGCCCCACCGCCUUUCUUGUCAGCCACGACACCCAGGUUUUCGUCUAUGCCUCAUUGGAUGCAUUUACAUCGUAUAUAAUGUUAGAUAUACACAAUCUUAGGUACAUAUAGGAUCUUCCACCUCGGCUCAUGUACUGAUAUGAUUUGUGUUGAUACAUGAUUCUCAACAAACUAUACUACCAAACUUUUUCACGAAAUGUGUAGUACCAGUUGGUGUGAUAUCAUGUCCUCAGCAAUGCCCUCGAUGGAACGACCAUGACCAUGUUGUUGCCUGGACUCCUUUUUCAUGAUGAUGUCGCUCUUCGUCAUCCAUAGUUUAUGCGGUGGAGCGUCAAAGACCUCAGCGUGUUAUAGGAGAAGACCAUGAAGAUCAGCAAGAAAGAUGUUGAUCAAGGAAGGUUCGACACUGUGAUGUGAGUUGAAACACAAGCAUGGCCUGCAAUCGACGCCCACCAUACUUGUGCCUCACAAGCAGCAAUUUUUCACAUUCUUGAUGAUAUUUGUCGGUGCCCUCUUCUCAUCUAUCCCGACAAUCUCGGUAUCCAGGCAAGAGAGCCUUGCAAAAUUCAUGGACGUUGUUUCCUCUUGGAACUGUCCUAACUAUGCCAUGAUCACUGUCGAACAUUGCUCGACAGACUUCUCUGCUUACCAACUCUAUAUUUUUCUAGGUUUUCUUGUGAAAAUUGAUGAUACCCCAAUGUAGAGCCUUACAUGUUCAGUUUAGGUAACACGCCUUCUGAUAUUGUUACCUUGAAAUAACAACUGUAGCCGUUGUUGGUUGACAGAUUUCAGACGAUAACCUGAAUGUAGGCAUUGAACACAACAAGGUCAGGAUAUGAUAAUGGCCCAAGGUCGUGCCGACAAAUCUGAAAAUACUGUGGAACAAAAUAAUAAUCUGGCAAUGUCCCAAGAGAGCUGUUUGUUCUUGGAUUUUUAUACCCUCAUGUUAAUACUUAGCUGCUACAAUUUUUAUUGUUCUUCUCAUUAUAUGUACCUAAUAAUGAUUUAGUUCAUUUCUGGAUUAUUGGACUAAAUUACGCUGCCUACUU